rnacentral:rRNA from 1 species
UUUAACUGAAGAGUUUGAUCAUGGCUCAGAUUGAACGCUGGCGGCAGGCUUAACACAUGCAAGUCGAGCGGGGGAAGGUAGCUUGCUACUGGACCUAGCGGCGGACGGGUGAGUAAUGCUUAGGU